UACGGAGGGUGCGAGCGUUAAUCGGAAUAACUGGGCGUAAAGGGCACGCAGGCGGGGUGUUAAGUGAGAUGUGAAAUCCCCGGGCUUAACCUGGGAAUUGCAUUUCAGACUGGGAGUCUAGAGUACUGUAGGGAGGGGUAGAAUUCCACGUGUAGCGGUGAAACGCGUAGAGAUGUGGAGGAAUACCGAAGGCGAAGGCAGCCCCGUGGGAAUGGACUGACGCUCAUGUGCGAAAGCGUGGGGAGCAAACAGG
rnacentral:rRNA from 1 species